rnacentral:tRNA from 1 species
GCGCCUAUAGCUCAGUAGAUAGAGCGCUUCCCUGCGGAGGAAGAGGUCGCAGGUGCAACUCCUGCUAGGCGCG